GUGCCUUUUUCAGCAGCACACAUACUAAAAUUGGAAUGACACAGAGAGGUUUAGCAUGGUCCAUGUGCAAGAAUAAUGGACAUAUUUCAUAAUAAGGCAGGCACCAUA
rnacentral:snRNA from 1 species